UACGUAGGGGGCGAGCGUUGUCCGGAAUUAUUGGGCGUAAAGGGCUCGUAGGCGGCUUGGCAAGUCGAUCGUGAAAGCCCGGGGCUUAACCCCGGGAGGCCGGUCGAUACUGCCAUGGCUUGGGUCCGGUAGAGGAGAAUGGAAUUCCCGGUGUAGCGGUGAAAUGCGCAGAUAUCGGGAGGAACACCAACAGCGAAGGCAGUUCUCUGGGCCGGUACCGACGCUGAGGAGCGAAAGCGUGGGGAGCAAACAGG
rnacentral:rRNA from 1 species